rnacentral:rRNA from 1 species
UACGUAGGGGGCUAGCGUUGUCCGGAAUUAUUGGGCGUAAAGAGCUCGUAGGCGGUCUGUCGCGUCUGCUGUGAAAACUCAGGGCUUAACCCUGAGCUUGCAGUGGGUACGGGCAGACUAGAGUGCGGUAGGGGAGACUGGAAUUCCUGGUGUAGCGGUGGAAUGCGCAGAUAUCGGGAAGAACACCCGUGGCGAAGGCGGCUCUCUGGGACGGUACUGACGCUGAGACGCGAAAGCGUGGGGAGCGAACAGG